CCUACCGAGCCUAGUUAUAGCUGGUUGCUUAAGAAAUGAAUGUUAGUUCAGCCUUAUGUAAUUCUAUAACCAAAACUUAUUAACAAAAAGAACAAAAGCAAUACAUAAGAGUUAGUCAAAGGGGGUACAGCCCCUUUGAAACAGAACACAACCUUAUUCAGGAGGACAAGGAUCAUACCAUAAAAGGACAAAAUUACCUCAGUGGGCCCAAAAGCAGCCACCUGUAAAGAAAGCGUUAAAGCUCCGGUAAAUACAGACCAAUAAUAAAGACAAUACACUCCCCACCCCCUAAAAAUAUUAAGCUAUCCUAUGCACACAUAGGAGAAACAAUGCUAAAAUCAGUAAUAAGAGGGCCCAAGCCCUCUCCUAGCACAUGUGUAAGUCAGAACGGACCGACCACUGACAAUCAACGGACCCAAACAGAGAGAAAAAGAACAAACUACAAAAAACAAGAAAAAUCUAUUUAAUACCACAAACCGUUAACCCAACACAGGAGUGCCUAAAGGAAAGACUAAAAGGAGAAGAAGGAACUCGGCAAACACAAACCCCGCCUGUUUACCAAAAACAUCGCCUCUUGCUAACAAAGGAAGUACUAGAGGUCCCGCCUGCCCUGUGACCACAAAGUUUAACGGCCGCGGUAUCCUGACCGUGCGAAGGUAGCGUAAUCAUUUGUCUUUUAAAUAGAGACCUGUAUGAAUGGCAUAACGAGGGUUUAACUGUCUCCUUCCCCUAGUCAAUGAAAUUGAUCUGCCCGUGCAGAAGCGGACAUAAAUACAUAAGACGAGAAGACCCUAUGGAGCUUUAGACAAAAGAUCAAACAUGUAAAGAAGCCAAGUUAACCAAAAGGAACACAAAGGCCACGAAACCCGACGUAAACUGAUCCAAAUGUCUUCGGUUGGGGCGACCAUGGGGGAGAAAAAAGCCCCCACGAGGAACAGGGACUAAUCCCUAAGCCAAGAGAGACAUCUCUAAGCAACAGAAAAUCUGACCAAAAGUGACCCAGAAUACUAAUUCUGAUCAACGAACCAAGUUACCCUAGGGAUAACAGCGCAAUCCUUUCCC
rnacentral:rRNA from 1 species